rnacentral:SRP_RNA from 1 species
CCGUGCUAAGCGGGGAGCUGGCGGUGCCCUGAACCCGCAAUCCGCCAUAGCGGGGCUGAAUUCCCGAGCCGAGGCCCUUCCUUUUCCGGAAGGGCUCAGGGGAGGGCGAUGAAGGUCGGGUCCUCCAUAGCAGAGGGCUCCGAACCCCGCCAGGCCCGGAAGGGAGCAACGGUAAGGAGUUCCUCCUGCUGAUGGAGGGUAGCCUGACUGGAGCCUUAACCCCUGGGUACCCCGGGGAAGGAGGAGGUCGAAGCCGGGUGCACGG